rnacentral:rRNA from 1 species
GACGAACGCUGGCGGCGUGCUUAACACAUGCAAGUCGAACGCUGAAGCUCAGCUUGCUGGGUGGAUGAGUGGCGAACGGGUGAGUAACACGUGAGUAACCUGCCCUCUUCUUUGGGAUAACGCCCGGAAACGGGUGCUAAUACUGGAUAUUCACUGAUUCUCGCAUGGGGGUUGGUGGAAAGGUUUUUUCUGGUGGGGGAUGGGCUCGCGGCCUAUCAGCUUGUUGGUGGGGUGAUGGCCUACCAAGGCUUUGACGGGUAGCCGGCCUGAGAGGGUGACCGGUCACAUUGGGACUGAGAUACGGCCCAGACUCCUACGGGAGGCAGCAGUGGGGAAUAGUGCACAAUGGGCGAAAGCCUGAUGCAGCGACGCCGCGUGAGGGAUGGAGGCCUUCGGGUUGUAAACCUCUUUCGCUCAUGGUCAAGCCGCAGCUUUGGGUUGUGGUGAGGGUAGUGGGUAAAGAAGCGCCGGCUAACUACGUG